rnacentral:rRNA from 1 species
CAGCCGCCGCGGGAAUACGUAGGGUGCAAGCGUUAAUCGGAAUUACUGGGCGUAAAGCGUGCGUAGGUGGUGGUUUAAGUCCGUUGUGAAAGCCCUGGGCUCAACCUGGGAAUUGCAGUGGAUACUGGGUCACUAGAGUGUGGUAGAGGAUAGUGGAAUUUCCGGUGUAGCAGUGAAAUGCGUAGAGAUCGGAAGGAACGUCUGUGGCGAAGGCGACUAUCUGGGCCAACACUGACACUGAGGCACGAAAGCGUGGGGAGCAAACAGGAUUAGAUACCCCUGUAGUCCCUGUCUCUUAUAC